UGUGGUGGAUGCCUUGGCGAUUACAGGCGAUGAAGGACGUGAUAGCCUGCGAAAAGCUUCGGGGAGCUGGCAAAUUAGCUUUGAUCCGGAGAUAUCCGAAUGGGGAAACCCACCCUUAGGGGUAUCGCAUACUGAAUACAUAGGUAUGCGAGGCGAACCGAGUGAACUGAAACAUCUAAGUAACUCGAGGAAAAGACAUCAACCGAGAUUCCGAAAAGUAGUGGCGAGCGAAAUCGGAACAGCCUAGUCUUCUUUAGCAAUUGACUUAUCAAAACAGCUUGGAAACGCUGACCAUAGUGGGUGAUAGUCCCGUAUGAGAAAAGUCUUUUGUGGAACUGAGUAGACGAUAAGUAGGGCGGGACACGAGAAAUCCUGUCUGAAGAUGGGGGGACCAUCCUCCAAGGCUAAAUACUCGUAAUCGACCGAUAGUGAACAAGUAACCGUGAGG
rnacentral:rRNA from 1 species